rnacentral:rRNA from 1 species
CUACGGGAGGCGGCAGUGGGGAAUAUUGGACAAUGGGGGGAACCCUGAUCCAGCCAUGCCGCGUGUGUGAAGAAGGCCUUAUGGUUGUAAAGCACUUUAAGCGAGGAGGAGGCUACUUUAGUUAAUACCUAGAGAUAGUGGACGUACUCGCAGAA